GGGGAGGGGGGGGGGGGCUGGUGGAAAUGAAAAAUUAGAUGCUAAAAUGUAUUUGACCCCCCCUUGAGGAUAACACAAUUAUACUUGACACCCCCCCUCCCCCCAUGCAAAUAACAAAAGGCGCAUUCGUAAUUUAAAGUUCUUAUAAAGUGAAGCCACAUUUAAUCCUGCCCUAUCAUAGUUGCCAACAUUGGGAAUAACACAUCCGUAAGAUUUCGCUUUGGGGGGCCCACAAGGCGCCACCAUAGUUGGCGCCAAGCAGAAAACUUGAAAAUAU